UACGGAGGGUGCAAGCGUUGCUCGGAAUUAUUGGGCGUAAAGGGCAGGUAGGUGGUCUCAUUUGUCCGGGGUGAAAUCCUUGGGCUUAACUUAAGAAGUGCCCCGGAGACGGUGAGACUGGAGUUUUGGAGAGGGUCGUGGAAUUCCCGGUGUAGCGGUGAAAUGCGUAGAUAUUGGGAAGAACACCGGUGGCGAAGGCGGCGACCUGGUCCGAUACUGACGCUGAGGCGCGAAAGCGUGGGGAGCAAACAGG
rnacentral:rRNA from 1 species